UCCUUUCCGUUCGAAGCUCUAUCACAAAUAGGAGUAUAAAAUAUCUCACUCAUCAUUUACUUAAACAUUUCUAGAUCUGGCACCACCGCUCUGUUUGUAACAAUAUUCAAUGAACACUACUAUCCGGUUUUUAUUGUGCUAAACAACAAUAUCCUUCUAUUUAUAUCCCUUUGCGCAUUCUAUCUGAGCGGUUAGUAAUUUCGUAAGCUAACAAGACAGUGCAGUCGUUGAUUUCGGAGCGAUUUGUACUAAUUUUGUAGUUUGGAUUCUUCAAUUAUAUGAGUAUUGAUAUUGUCAUUUCUCCUGCUGGGUUUGAGAAAGUUAUGUAGAGAAAUGUUUGUGUUACUAACUCAACAACUAUUCAGACAAAAAUUAUUGGUGAGUUGAGUCAACAUUAUUCUUAUUUGUUUUAGGUCCAAACUAAAAAAAUCAAGUCGAUAAAUCUGCGUAUUUACUAAUUUUAAAAAGUUGAUAUAGCGUCAUCUACCUAUAAUAACGAUUUUAUUCUGAACACAAUCAUGGAAUUUUGUAAUGUGUAGAGUGAAGAGUUUAUAAUCGUAUUAUUUGAUUGAGGUAGCACUAAAAACCUAAGAUGAAAUUUAUCCACAUCAAACUUUACGACGAUACAGAAUAAAUACGGUAUGGUUGUUUUAGCUAUACAUAUAAUCGAAUCGUCAACUUGAAGAAAUUAUUUGGAAUAUCAUAAUACAUCUUAUUGUUUCGAAUUUCAAUGUGCGUUUAUAAGAAGAAAAUAAAUAGUUUCGUUGCUAAUGCCGUGACGAAUGUUCAAUAGUACCUCGAACUCGACAACUCCAACCAGCGAUUCUAUUUGGUUAUCGUGGAUAAAAAUUCUCCAGUGCUAUCUGGCGCCAUCCUACUAAUAAUUGCGAAGCAUCAGACUGGUAAAAUCGAGCUGUAAUCGAUGAUGAUAUGAAAUCAUAUUUUGGUGAUAUACAAUGUGAUUAUUUUCUCGAAUUUCAAUAAUUUUAAAUAAGCAUUUUAAAUUAGCAGAAAACAACUAGCUUCCUGACAAAUUUUGCGAUGAAUAAGUACAUCUCUUGUUUUCUAGAUUUUCACCUGAAUUUAGCACCUUUGAUUGUUAUAUAAACCUUAUAUACCAGACUUUACUUCUUAUUUAGUAGUUAUAAAGAUGCAAUUCCACUGAAUCUACUUUUAAACAUGUGGCAUCCGGCAAUGAGGCAUGUUACACAUAGCCUUUUCAUAAAAGAAACAAUGCGACACAGUUGAAAUUUCUGGGACCGUUAGCGAUAUUUAUACUGAUUACAUUGUUCACACCACCGCUACACCAACACUCACGAUUAUACUGUCUGACGCGCGUUUCGAUAACCAAGUCGUCUUCAGAGACUGAAGGAAAACUGUGGUAUAAGAACAUUUAUACCACCAUUCACAGUUGAAAUUUGCAACCAUUACUCCAAACUUAGUAAGAGAGUCACAAUAGAAAUCGUUUAUGAAAUAUAGAGGCAGCACUACUGCUAACAAAAAUUUAAAACUGUAAGAUAUGCAAAAAAUUAUUCAAAUCAAAGCAUGUGUUCGGUGUUGUUGAAGAAACGAAAAGAAUUAGAACUGUCACAACCGGUAAAGUUGUGUCACAGACAAGUGUAUCAGAAAAGUAAAACAAAAAAAUAUUUAUUACACUUUUCUAUUAUUUAUUACAACUAGAAAAUUAGGAAAUUUUUUUAAUUUAAAAAAAAAAAUGAUAGAAUUAUAGUUUUCAGGUUGCUACAAAUCGACGCUGUUUGUACCUGUAAAUCUGGUCUUGGGAAUAAGUGUGCAUCCAUUCUACGUAAACAUCCUCAUUGAAAACGAGUCAUUCUUAGCAAAGCAAUGGGGCAAGCCUAUUUAUUCAAAAGCAACUACUAGUGUACGACAAAGGUGAAAGUAUGUCUAAGCUCUUUACUCCUUUAGUUUUGUCUGCUAUAGUUGGAACCUAUCAAACUUACAAUAGCAACUAUGCCUGAAUCUUUGAUAAAUACACCGCUUCGAAAAAUCUUACAGCUUGAAAAGAAAGAGUAUAUAGUAAUAACACCAGCGGAAUCAAUGUUAGAAAUGACACAUACUAAGGCUAAAGGAAACCUCCAGGACAAAAAAAGUGAUAAAUUAUAAUAUAUUUGAAUUGCAAAAAUUUGAAUGUAAUAUUUAGUCAGGAAGUUAUGGUUACCAAGGCAAUACAUACAUUCUACAAAAACAAAUAUGUUAUUAUUCUAGGAAAGCAUUAAAUUUAAGUCUUUCCACCAUUCAUCAAUCAAAGCAGUGAAUGGUUUGCACAACGAGCACUACGAAUAACUGCUAGUAAUGGAUACAGCUUGAAAGGACAACGUUUUAAUGUGAAAAAAAUUUUGACAUCUAUGUAAUAGCCAAAAAUAACUAAAAUUGCAGCGAUAACGUUCUGAAAAAAAAAUGAGGAUGUAACAUUAAAGUGUAUAAACAGUUAUUCUAUCCAAA